rnacentral:rRNA from 1 species
GACGAACCGUGCAAACGUUGUUCGGAAUCACUGGGCUUAAAGGGCGCGUAGGCGGGCCAGCCAGUCUGUGGUGAAAGCCUCCAGCUUAACUGGAGAAGUGCCGUGGAUACUGCUGGCCUCGAGGAGGAUAGGGGCAUCUGGAACGGUCGGUGGAGCGGUGAAAUGCGUUGAUAUCGACCGGAACUCCGGUGGCGAAGGCGAGGUGCUGGGUCCUUUCUGACGCUGAGGUGCGAAAGCGUGGGGAGCAAACAGG